rnacentral:rRNA from 1 species
CUAUAAUGGAGAGUUUGAUCCUGGCUCAGGACGAACGCUGGCGGCGUGCCUAAUACAUGCAAGUCGAG